rnacentral:rRNA from 1 species
UACAGAGGGUGCGAGCGUUGCUCGGAAUCACUGGGCGUAAAGGGUGCGUAGGCGGGUCUUUAAGUCAGGGGUGAAAUCCUGGAGCUCAACUCCAGAACUGCCUUCGAUACUGGAAGACUCGAGUCCGGGAGAGGUGAGUGGAACUGCGAGUGUAGAGGUGAAAUUCGUAGAUAUUCGCAAGAACACCAGUGGCGAAGGCGGCUCACUGGCCCGGUACUGACGCUGAGGUGCGAAAGCGUGGGGAGCAAACAGG